AUCUCUCGGAUGUCUCUCGUAUUCACAUAACGGAACUUUGUGUCCUCCUGGUCUCAGUCGUGGCCCUUCGCCUGCAGGCGCUCCCUGACACGUUGUCACCAGCAGGGGGCGCCCUCCCUCGUCUUCUGACAUGCAGCGUCCCGUCUCUUGUGGCUGCAGCUACUGUCCUGGCAGCUUCUCUGCAUGACUGUGGUGAGUCCGAGCUCGUGUCACAUGAUGUCCUGCUGACUGCCAUGAGAGUGUGCCUCUCCGAGACGCC